AUGAACGCUGGCGGCGCGCCUAACACAUGCAAGUCGAACGGCACCCACCUUCGGGUGGAAGCGAGUGGCGAACGGCUGAGUAACACGUGGAGAACCUGCCCCCUCCCCCGGGAUAGCCGCCCGAAAGGACGGGUAAUACCGGAUACCCCGGGGUGCCGCAUGGCACCCCGGCUAAAGCCCCGACGGGAGGGGAUGGCUCCGCGGCCCAUCAGGUAGACGGCGGGGUGACGGCCCACCGUGCCGACAACGGGUAGCCGGGUUGAGAGACCGACCGGCCAGAUUGGGACUGAGACACGGCCCAGACUCCUACGGGAGGCAGCAGUGGGGAAUCUUGCGCAAUGGGGGGAACCCUGACGCAGCGACGCCGCGUGCGGGACGGAGGCCUUCGGGUCGUAAACCGCUUUCAGCAGGGAAGAGUCAAGACUGUACCUGCAGAAGAAGCCCCGGCUAACUACGUGCCAGCAGCCGCGGUAAUACGUAGGGGGCGAGCGUUAUCCGGAUUCAUUGGGCGUAAAGCGCGCGUAGGCGGCCCGGCAGGCCGGGGGUCGAAGCGGGGGGCUCAACCCCCCGAAGCCCCCGGAACCUCCGCGGCUUGGGUCCGGUAGGGGAGGGUGGAACACCCGGUGUAGCGGUGGAAUGCGCAGAUAUCGGGUGGAACACCGGUGGCGAAGGCGGCCCUCUGGGCCGAGACCGACGCUGAGGCGCGAAAGCUGGGGGAGCGAACAGGAUUAGAUACCCUGGUAGUCCCAGCCGUAAACGAUGGACGCUAGGUGUGGGGGGACGAUCCCCCCGUGCCGCAGCCAACGCAUUAAGCGUCCCGCCUGGGGAGUACGGCCGCAAGGCUAAAACUCAAAGGAAUUGACGGGGGCCCGCACAAGCAGCGGAGCAUGUGGCUUAAUUCGAAGCAACGCGAAGAACCUUACCAGGGCUUGACAUAUGGGUGAAGCGGGGGAGACCCCGUGGCCGAGAGGAGCCCAUACAGGUGGUGCAUGGCUGUCGUCAGCUCGUGUCGUGAGAUG
rnacentral:rRNA from 1 species